CCGGGGGAGCGGGGCCCGAACACCUGCCGGCCUAGCGGCCGAGCAGCGGGGAUGUUUAGACGAUCUUCCAGCAAUGCGACCGAGGCUCCCCCGGCUUUCUUGCGUUGGUGCCUUGGCAGGGCUGGGGGCGGCCAGCUAGGGGCCCCUUGCCUAUGAGGUCUGCUGACCCAGAAACUUUGCUACGAGCUUCCAGCCAAGGACCAAGCUGAGGCCGACUUUGGGAACGGCAGCACCGUGGUAAAGAGGCACAGCCUGUCGUCUGGCAGGGUCAGCCGCUCAGCCAGUCUGUCUUCUUAUCCACUCAGCCGGUCCUUGUGGAUCAUCUCCUUUACGGACCCUGUGUUAGAAAGAAGGGGAAUUGCUUUGUCGAGGACUGUCAGAGAGUGCCAAGAGCUUCUUGAUCUUAGACUGCGCGGAUGGGUUUUUUUGUACCUGAUGUGUACAAAGUUCCCUGCCAGCUCUUGCCAAGAAUUCAAAGGAGUAAGAAUAAUUGAUCAUAUAGCCAUCAUUGAAGCAGCGCCAGACACUGUGCUAAGAGCUUCAUAUGCAUUACCCCAGCGCUCCUGUUCUCGAGGAACUACUGUCGUCUAGAGAAGGAAUAAAGCAAGUCUAGUGUCAAGCAGCGCAGCAGCGUCUCUGAUCCGAAGUGAAAGCAAGAACCCAG
rnacentral:lncRNA from 1 species